CUCAAAACUGGUGCAUAUUAGUAUCACCUGGAGAGUCUUUAAAACUCCCAAGGCUCAAGCCACAACCCAAGCCAAUUAAAUCAAUCAAUGGGUGUGGAUAAAGCAGUGUCAAUGCCAGGUUUUAAAAGUUAAACCAGGUAUUUCCAGGAAGACAGUGGGUCUUCCCUGUGGUUCAGUCAGUAAAGAGUCUGUCUGCAAUGUAGGAGACCCAGGUUCAAUGUCUGCGUUGGGAAGAUCCCCUGGAGAAGGACAUGGCAACCCACUCCAGUAUUCUUGCCUGGAAAACCCCAUUAACAGAGGAGCCUGGUGGGCUACAGUCCUUGAAAUCACAAAGAAUGCGACACGGACUAAGCGACUCACACACACACAGGAAGAUAGUGAGGUGUUUCAGGCAGAGGGGAAGUUCCACAAAGACUCAGAUGCAGGAAAUGACUCUGGAUAUUGGAGGCUGAUGUGGACAUUCAUGUGAUGCUUAGGAAGUGUGAUGCUUCUGAAACAAGAACACAUUCUACAAAAAUGGCCCUUAAAAACACUUUCCCUUCUCUAUUCUUGCAAUGAAGGUGCAUUUUGGUGUUAAAAAUAUAAAUUCUAGGCUGGUUUCUCCUGUGAA